AGGGUUCGAUUCUGGCUCAGGAUGAACGCUGGCGGCGUGCUUAACACAUGCAAGUCGAACGGGAUCCAUCAAGCUUGCUUGGUGGUGAGAGUGGCGAACGGGUGAGUAAUGCGUGACCGACCUGCCCCAUACACCGGAAUAGCUCCUGGAAACGGGUGGUAAUGCCGGAUGCUCCAGUUGAUCGCAUGGUCUUCUGGGAAAGCUUUCGCGGUAUGGGAUGGGGUCGCGUCCUAUCAGCUUGACGGCGGGGUAACGGCCCACCGUGGCUUCGACGGGUAGCCGGCCUGAGAGGGCGACCGGCCACAUUGGGACUGAGAUACGGCCCAGACUCCUACGGGAGGCAGCAGUGGGGAAUAUUGCACAAUGGGCGCAAGCCUGAUGCAGCGACGCCGCGUGAGGGAUGGAGGCCUUCGGGUUGUAAACCUCUUUUAUCGGGGAGCAAGCGAGAGUGAGUUUACCCGUUGAAUAAGCACCGGCUAACUACGUGCCAGCAGCCGCGGUAAUACGUAGGGUGCAAGCGUUAUCCGGAAUUAUUGGGCGUAAAGGGCUCGUAGGCGGUUCGUCGCGUCCGGUGUGAAAGUCCAUCGCUUAACGGUGGAUCCGCGCCGGGUACGGGCGGGCUUGAGUGCGGUAGGGGAGACUGGAAUUCCCGGUGUAACGGUGGAAUGUGUAGAUAUCGGGAAGAACACCAAUGGCGAAGGCAGGUCUCUGGGCCGUUACUGACGCUGAGGAGCGAAAGCGUGGGGAGCGAACAGGAUUAGAUACCCUGGUAGUCCACGCCGUAAACGAUGAGUGCUAGGUGUUGGAUCCUUUCCGGGAUUCAGUGCCGCAGCUAACGCAUUAAGCACUCCGCCUGGGGAGUACGACCGCAAGGUUGAAACUCAAAGGAAUUGACGGGGGCCCGCAC
rnacentral:rRNA from 1 species